CCUGGCUGCAUUCAUGAAAGCACAGGCCAUUUUGACACUGGGUGAAUGGCAGGUGACUGUAUUCAUGAAAGCAAAUGGAUUAUCGACCAAACGGGGAAUCACAGAAAACACAAACCCGUUCACAGGACCGCUGACCUGCAGGAUCUGAAAGGAAACUUGCGGCCCUUUGCCUUUACGUAGACUACUUCGAGCGGCAGUGGCUUACCAACGUUCAUCUCUGGAAUUAGUUUGCGGAUGAGGACGAUCUCCGCACAAACAAUCACGCCGAAGGGUGGCAUAAUUCGCUGCGCAUGAAAUUCAAGAGCCAACCCCACAUGACGUUUUCGAAGUUCCUCGUCGAAUUUGAGUCAACCAUACACAAUGUAAGCACAACCAGGUACGCAUUCGGCUGCUGUUGAACGGGGCUUCGCCAAGCAGGAGACGAUACAAGAGGCUCGCUCUUCCUUCUCAUGGGCGUACGGAAAAUACAGCUAAGGGGAAAUGAUGCUGGGAAACGAAGUACCCUUCACAGACGUAACAGAGCAGUUUGCUCAUGUUAUCAAGGCAUACCUGCAGCGCAUGUCCCACUUGCUGGGCCAUGCUAACUAAUAAGUUAGUUGUUCAAAUGAAAAAAAGAAAAAAAGAACAACUAAACAGAGCAGGCUGAGCAUUUGUUUCUCGUUUUACUCGGUGUAUAACAUCUUUCAGUGGGAAUGUUUAAAUCUUACCUUCAACUAAUAAGUCAGUUGUUGGAAUGAAAAAAAAAGAAAGAAAAAUAAAUAAACAGAGCAGGCUGA